CCGCGUGAGUGAUGAAGGCUUUCGGGUCGUAAAACUCUGUUGUUAGGGAAGAACAAGUACAAGAGUAACUGCUUGUACCUUGACGGUACCUAACCAGAAAGCCACGGCUAACUACGUGCCAGCAGCCGCGGUAAUACGUAGGUGGCAAGCGUUAUCCGGAAUUAUUGGGCGUAAAGCGCGCGCAGGCGGUUUCUUAAGUCUGAUGUGAAAGCCCACGGCUCAACCGUGGAGGGUCAUUGGAAACUGGGGAACUUGAGUGCAGAAGAGAAAAGCGGAAUUCCACGUGUAGCGGUGAAAUGCGUAGAGAUGUGGAGGAACACCAGUGGCGAAGGCGGCUUUUUGGUCUGUAACUGACGCUGAGGCGCGAAAGCGUGGGGAGCAAACAGGAUUAGAUACCCUGGUAGUCCACGCCGUAAACGAUGAGUGCUAAGUGUUAGAGGGUUUCCGCCCUUUAGUGCUGCAGCUAACGCAUUAAGCACUCCGCCUGGGGAG
rnacentral:rRNA from 1 species